UCCUGGUGGCUCAGAUGGUAAAGCAUCUGCCUACAGUGCAGGAGACCUAGUUUCAAUCCCUGGAUCAGGAA
rnacentral:tRNA from 1 species